GGACAUCAGCAGUGCUGCUCUCCGCUCAUUUCCCCUGCUCGCCAGUCAUAGACAAUUGAACGGCUCACAAGCGGGAGGAGGACAACGAAGAGCACGAGGAGAGAGAGAAAAUUGCGCUGCGUAAUUGAGCGAUCCGACCCGCUUGAACACGAACUCGCGAAACACUUCACGAUUAACUUUUGCAAAUGUGACGAAAGCUGCAGCAUGAAAUCGACCGCAUUAAGUAGGAAAUGCAGCAGCGGGAGAAUGCAAAGAGAUUCCAUCAUUCAAACACAUGGAGGUGAGCAGCUGCAUGCGUGGGAACAGGAGCCGGAAAAAACGGACUUUGACUUCACCGGAAAUCUUCAAAGGUUGGGUCACCUGCGAAAAGGAGUGGUACCGCGCGUGACUAUUCUCGAAUACGCACGCAGUCAGACAAUGGUGUAAAUAUGAUAGAUCAACUUCCCGAACGCAAUUUUCAAUUAUGUUGUAGUAGGCCUAUAACAAUAUUGUAAUUAUUUUCUGUCUACCACACAAUAGGAUUCACUUCCUAUGACAUUGAUGAUGCUUCGGACACGUCCUUGAGCUGUGUGAGAGGUGCUCCAAUAAACCUCGGCGUUCAAAUAAAAUAUUACUGCAGUUUGUUUGAUGGAUUGACGCACUUUGCAAAGGUGGAGUCGAAUCCUUUUGAACCUCUUUCAUGUUUAUUUAUUCAAAAACAUGUAAAAUA